rnacentral:rRNA from 1 species
UACAGAGGUCCCGAGCGUUGUUCGGAUUCACUGGGCGUAAAGGGUGCGUAGGUGGUGGGGUAAGUCGGAUGUGAAAUCUCGGAGCUCAACUCCGAAACUGCAUUGGAAACUACCCUGCUAGAGGGUCGGAGGGGGGACUGGAAUUCUUGGUGUAGCAGUGAAAUGCGUAGAUAUCGUGAGGAACACCAGAGGCGAGGGCGGCUACCUGGACAAUUGCUGACGCUCAGGCACGAAAGCGUGGGGAGCAAAAGGG